rnacentral:tRNA from 1 species
GCCGCCUUAGCUCAGCUGGUAGAGCACUUGACUUGUAAUCAUGAGGUCUCCGGUUCAAUUCCGGGAGGCGGCU